rnacentral:lncRNA from 10 species
AGGCAGGAGAAUCGCUUGAACCUUGGAGGUUGAGGUUGCGGUGAGCUGAGAUGGUGCCACUGCACUCCAGCCUGGUCCACAGAGCGAGACUCCAUCUCAAAAAAAAAAAAAAGUACCACUUUGGGGGUGGUGUUGAUAAUGGGGGAGGCUGUACAUGUGUAGGGGUAGGAGGCAUGUAGGAAAUGUCUGUAGCUUUCCCUCAGUUUUGCUGUAAAUCUUACUAGUGUUUGAAUGCCAAAUCCUUAAGAUCAUAUCUAUUUCUUGUCACUGGCAGUGAGUUCUGUUCUUGACUUUCCACUAAGAGCAGUACUGAUGACAACAUCCCGCAGUAUUUUAUGAGCCGGAGAACAUUAACAUAUCUAAAAGAGUACAUUUUCCUCUGGAGGGCCACCAGCCUGUAAACUGCAGGUCAAAAAGCUGAGUGUGAACAGCAUUGUUAGGACAUGUUUCUAAGUGUAUGCCAAUAUGUCCACAGAGGUUUUUUUAGACUUAUAAAGCGAGCUAAAGAAGACUUUUGUUCCAUUUUCUGAUUUUUAAUUUAUAUAGACAUUUUUUCAUUUGAAGAAAGUGCAUAUAUUUUUAAAGGAAAGGUACUCUUAAGUCUAUCCAUUUAAGAAAAUAUUAAUCUCCAUGGAGAAGAAAUUUUCCAUAUUUUAAAAUUUAUUGUGUGUAGGUAUAUUCCAUAUACACUCUAUAAAUAAAAAGCACACUGGCUGGGCGCAGUGGCUCAUAUCUAUAAUCCCAAUGCUUUGGGAGGCUGAGGCGGGCAGAUCACCUG